CCGCCGGUAGCGUAGUGGUUAUCGCACCACACGCGUAUUCUUGAGGUCGUGGGUUCGAAUCCCACCCGGCGGG
rnacentral:tRNA from 1 species